GACGAACGCUGGCGGCGUGCCUAAUACAUGCCAGUCGAACGAGAGCGACCGGUGCUUGCACUGGUCAAUCUAGUGGCGAACGGGUGAGUAACACGUGGGUAACCUGCCCAUCAGAGGGGGAUAACAUCCGGAAACGGAUGCUAAAACCGCAUAGGUCUUCGAGCCGCAUGGCUUGAAGAGGAAAAGAGGCGCAAGCUUCUGCUGAUGGAUGGACCCUCGGUGCAUUAGCUAGUUGGUGAGGUAACGGCUCACCAAGGCCGUGAUGCAUAGCCGACCUGAGAGGGUGAUCGGCCACAUUGGGACUGAGACACGGCCCAAACUCCUACGGGAGGCAGCAGUAGGGAAUCUUCCGCAAUGGACGCAAGUCUGACGGAGCAACGCCGCGUGAGUGAAGAAGGUUUUCGGAUCGUAAAACUCUGUUGUUAGAGAAGAACAAGUGCUAGAGUAACUGUUAGCGCCUUGACGGUAUCUAACCAGAAAGCCACGGCUAACUACGUG
rnacentral:rRNA from 1 species